rnacentral:rRNA from 1 species
CCUACGGGAGGCAGCAGUGGGGAAUUUUGGACAAUGGGCGAAAGCCUGAUCCAGCCAUACCGCGUGCGGGAAGAAGGCCUUCGGGUUGUAAACCGCUUUUGUCAGGGAAGAAAUGCUUCGGGCUAAUACCCUGGGGUGAUGACGGUACCUGAAGAAUAAGCACCGGCUAACUACGUGCCAGCAGCCGCGGUAAUACGUAGGGUGCAAGCGUUAAUCGGAAUUACUGGGCGUAAAGCGUGCGCAGGCGGUUCUAUAAGACAGAUGUGAAAUCCCCGGGCUCAACCUGGGAACUGCAUUUGUGACUGUAGAGCUAGAGUACGGUAGAGGGGGAUGGAAUUCCGCGUGUAGCAGUGAAAUGCGUAGAUAUGCGGAGGAACACCGAUGGCGAAGGCAAUCCCCUGGACCUGUACUGACGCUCAUGCACGAAAGCGUGGGGAGCAAACAGGAUUAGAUACCCUGGUAGUCCACGCCCUAAACGAUGUCAACUGGUUGUUGGGAGGGUUUCUUCUCAGUAACGAAGCUAACGCGUGAAGUUGACCGCCUGGGGAGUACGGCCGCAAGGUUGAAACUCAAAGGAUUGACGG